GCGUGGGUUUGGAUUUAGGGGGUUCCCCUGGACCACUCAUAGGGUCCCAUACAGAAGCAAACUGUGGCCCUGAACCUUUGCCUGGCCUCUGUACCUGCAGGCUGCUGGCCCUGAAGUGGGUCAUACAGUA